GGAUGUGAGGGCGAUCUGGCAGCGGCAUCUGUCACCCCACUGAUCACCAGGGUUGAUUCGGCUGAUCUGGCUGGCUGGCUGGCUAGGCUAGGCCUUCCUCCCUCACCACUCCAUGCGUGUCCCUCCCGAAGCUGUGUGCUUGGCUGAAGAGGACGACCUUCCCCGAACAGAGAUGGACCGACCGGUCUGCAGCCGAGGGUAUCUGCCGUGUAGCUGUGCUCCCCCUGCUGGAACCCUGGAACAAGCUCUCAGGGUCCUAGUAGCCACUUGUAAGAAGGUAGCCUAAAAAGGGUAAAAAGGGUGGAGCUUGGCUACAUGUGUCUCUUCUCCUCCCC
ensembl:misc_RNA 7SK 7SK RNA